GACGAACGCUGGCGGCGUGCCUAAUACAUGCAAGUAGAACGCUGAAGGAGGAGCUUGCUCUUCUGGAUGAGUUGCGAACGGGUGAGUAACGCGUAGGUAACCUGCCUGGUAGCGGGGGAUAACUAUUGGAAACGAUAGCUAAUACCGCAUAACAGUAGAUGUUGCAUGACAUUUGCUUAAAAGGUGCAAUUGCACCACUACCAGAUGGACCUGCGUUGUAUUAGCUAGUUGGUGGGGUAACGGCUCACCAAGGCGACGAUACAUAGCCGACCUGCGAGGGGGAUCGGCCACACUGGGACGGAGACCCGGCCCAGACGCCUACGGGAGGCAGCAGUAGGGAAUCUUCGGCAAUGGACGGAAGUCUGACCGAGCAACGCCGCGUGAGGGAAGAAGGUUUUCGGAUCGUAAAGCUCGGUUGUAAGAGAAGAACGAGUGUGAGAGUGGAAAGUUCACACUGUGACGGUAUCUUACCAGAAAGGGACGGCUAACUACGUG
rnacentral:rRNA from 1 species